AAGGGUAUAGCUCAACUGGUAGAGCACAUGCUUAGCAUACACGAGGUCCUGGGUUCAAUCCCCAAUACCUCCU
rnacentral:tRNA from 1 species